UACGGGGGUGGCUAGCGUUGUUCGGAAUUACUGGGCGUAAAGGGCGCGUAGGCGGCUUAACAAGUCAGAUGUGAAAGCCCCGGGCUUAACCCGGGAAUUGCAUCUGAAACUGUUUAGCUUGAGUUCUGGAGGGGAUGGUGGAAUUCCCAGUGUAGCGGUGAAAUGCGUAGAUAUUGGGAGGAACACCUGCGGCGAAGGCGGCCAUCUGGACAGUGACUGACGCUGAGGCGCGAAAGCUAGGGUAGCAAACGGG
rnacentral:rRNA from 1 species